GAUGAACGCUGGCGGCGUGCUUAACACAUGCAAGUCGAACGGAAAGGCCCCUGCUUGCUGGUGUACUCGAGUGGCGAACGGGUGAGUAACACGUGGGUGAUCUGCCCUGCACUUUGGGAUAAGCCUUGGAAACUGGGCCUAAUACCGGAUAGGACGAUGGUUUGGAUGCCAUUGUGGAAAGUUUUUCGGUGUGGGAUGAGCUCGCGGCCUAUCAGCUUGUUGUUGGGGUAAUGGCCUACCAAGGCGUCGACGGGUAGCCGGCCUGAGAGGGUGUACGGCCACAUUGGGACUGAGAUACGGCCCAGACUCCUACGGGAGGCAGCAGUGGGGAAUAUUGCACAAUGGGCGCAAGCCUGAUGCAGCGACGCCGCGUGGGGGAUGACGGCCUUCGGGUUGUAAACUCCUUUCGCUAGGGACGAAGCGCAAGUGACGGUACCUGGAGAAGAAGCACCGGCUAACUACGUG
rnacentral:rRNA from 1 species